rnacentral:rRNA from 1 species
GACAGAGGAUGCAAGCGUUAUCCGGAAUUAUUGGGCGUAAAGAGCUCGUAGGCGGUUUGUCGCGUCUGCUGUGAAAACCCGAGGCUCAACCUCGGGCCUGCAGUGGGUACGGGCAGACUAGAGUGCGGUAGGGGAGAUUGGAAUUCCUGGUGUAGCGGUGGAAUGCGCAGAUAUCAGGAGGAACACCGAUGGCGAAGGCAGAUCUCUGGGCCGUAACUGACGCUGAGGAGCGAAAGCAUGGGGAGCGAACAGG